UACGAAGGGGGCGAGCGUUGUUCGGAUUUACUGGGCGUAAAGGGCGCGUAGGCGGCCCUCCUUGUCGCGUGUGAAAGCCCCGGGCUCAACCUGGGAACGGCGCGCGAGACGGGGGGGCUGGAGUUCGGGAGAGGAGCGUGGAAUUCCCAGUGUAGAGGUGAAAUUCGUAGAUAUUGGGAAGAACACCGGUGGCGAAGGCGGCUUCCUGGACCGACACUGACGCUGAGGCGCGAAAGCUAGGGGAGCAAACGGG
rnacentral:rRNA from 1 species